GUUUAACGGCCGCGGUAUCCUAACCGUGCGAAGGUAGCGUAAUCACUUGUUCUUUAAAUGAGGACUUGUAUGAAUGGCACCACGAGGGUUAUACUGUCUCCUUUCUUCAAUCAGUGAAACUAAUCUCCCCGUGAAGAAGCGGGGGUGUCCAUAUAAGACGAGAAGACCCUAUGGAGCUUUAAACUAAAUAACAAAUACUACUUACUACUUAACUUUCAGAAUAUGUACAUCUACUCUAGUAUUAUGAUUAUUAGUUUUAGGUUGGGGCGACCGCGGAGGAAAAACCAACCUCCACAUUGAACAGAGCUACUUCUGAGCAAAAAGCUACAGCUUUAAGCACCAAAAAAUUGACAUCCAUUGACCCAAUAUUUUGAUCAACGAACCAAGUUACCCUAGGGAUAACAGCGCAAUCCACUUCAAAAGCUCCUAUCGACAAGUGGGUUUACGACCUCGAUGUUGGAUCAGGGUAUCCCAGUGGUGCAGCCGCUACUAAAGGUUCGUUUGUUCAACGAUUAAAACCC
rnacentral:rRNA from 1 species